rfam:Myotis brandtii contig248221, whole genome shotgun sequence.
GGUGGUUCUCGAGUAGCAUACCCUGGAAUCGGGCUCCCUCCUCUCUGGUUCCGGGUGUGCCACCUGAGAACUGCA